rnacentral:rRNA from 1 species
AUACGUAGGGAGCGAGCGUUGUCCGGAAUUACUGGGUGUAAAGGGUGCGUAGGCCGGACUGCAAGUCAGAUGUGAAAUGCCGGGGCUCAACCCCGGAGCUGCAUUUGAAACUGUGGUUCUUGAGUGAGGUAGAGGUAAGCGGAAUUCCUAGUGUAGCGGUGAAAUGCGUAGAUAUUAGGAGGAACAUCGGUGGCGAAGGCGGCUUACUGGGCCUUUACUGACGCUGAGGCACGAAAGCGUGGGGAGCGAACAGGAUUAGAUACCCUGGUAGUCCACGCUGUAAACGAUGAUGACUAGGUGUGGGGGGACUGAACCCUUCCGUGCCGCAGUUAACACAAUAAGUCAUCCACCUGGGGAGUACGGCCGCAAGGUUGAAACUCAAAUGAAUUGACGGGG